UCAAAAUGCGAAGCCUAAGCCUCUCGUCAAAACCUAUCUCAGUCCCAGGGUCCCAGCUCCUUGCUUGUAUUCUUUAUCCAAAUCCUCUUUCUCUUCAGCGAAAUCGAAAUCCUUUUUAUCCAAAGUGCCCCUCCUAAAAUACCAAACACCCAAAUCUAGCUAGCUAUGCCUUCUAAUCUUCUAUCUUAUCAAGUUCUGAGUGCAGAUUCGUAUUUAUGAUUGGCAGCAACUCUAGCCUUCAAAUUGUUUGAAAUUGGCAGUAACUCUAGUUCUGAUAACAUCUGUUUGAAAUUGUUGUUAUUUGCUUCAUUGCAGGUAGAGUUGUUCAAGCAGUGCCGAUUAGAAGCAGUACCAUGAGUAUUUUCUAGAGACUGGAGUGGCUGCAGCACAUGGUAUGCUUGGAAAAGGGUGUGCCCUGUUGGGAAACCCAAAAUAUAUGGCUCUUUCAUUGACGGAAACAGCAGCACGCCUAUUUGUUACUAGAUUUUUUAGACAUUAUAUAUCUACCGGAUGUUUAAUCUUAUUAGAAGAGGGAGGCACAAUGUUCACCUUUGAGGGAAGCAGAAAGGACUGUUCUCUAAAAUCCAUUCUUAAAGUUCACAGUCCUCAGUUUUACUGGAAAGUGGAGGGGGAAUGGUUUGGUUUCAGAACUUGUUGUAGUAGUGUAGGAGAAACCCAUGCUUGAUGAAUGUGAAGCAUUACUGGCUUCAGUAGCAGCUAUGCAGUCCCCAUCUUUGGAGAAUGUCACAAGACAUACUGGAAGACCAUGGAAAAUAAUGGUUGAGAAUGAUGGUUAGAAGUUAGAACAUUGUCUCUACUCUCAAGUGAGUUGCUUCUACGUAGGUGAUUUUGGGUUUGCAGCAUAGCUUAUGUGGACAAUGCCAAAGCUCAACAUGGUAUAUAUUGGGGAGUGGAUGCAGCACACACAACCACACCCAUGUGCAUUACAAUAAUUGUUACUAUUGAUUGAGGUUCUCAUGGCAAAAAGAGCAAAGCAAAUGAAAGCAAGUGCAAAGCUAACAAAAUGAGAGUAAAAUGGU